rnacentral:rRNA from 1 species
UAACGCUGGCGGCGUGCUUAACACAUGCAAGUCGAACUAUGACCCCGUGCUUGCACGGGUGAAUUAGUGGCGGAACGGGUGAGUAACACGUGAGUAACCUGCCCCUGACUUCUUGGAUAAGCCCGGGAAACUGGGUCUAAUACUGGAUAUGACCUUUGACCGCAUGGUUUUAGGUGGAAAGAGGGUAGCGGUGGGGAUGGACGCGCGGCCUAUCAGCUUGUUGGUGAGGUAAUGGCUCACCAAGGCGACGACGGGUAGCCGGCCUGAGAGGGUGACCGGCCACACUGGGACUGAGACACGGCCCAGACUCCUACGGGAGGCAGCAGUGGGGAAUAUUGCACAAUGGGCGAAAGCCUGAUGCAGUGACGCCGUGUGAGGGAUUACGGCCAUC